UUCAUCUCUCUGGGCAGCGCUCUCGGGCAGCCGAUAAUCUAAUGUAUGACCGCGGAGUGUGAAAAAGCGGAGUCCUAACGGGGAUUUUUCUUUUUAAUUUUUUUCCCUGGAUUUGGAACAACAUGGCGGACGUAGUGGAGGGAGAGGACGUGCGCGUGAGUGUGCCCUCCGCGCUGCGCUCUUCACGGCACGGCUCCGGCGGGAAUGUUACUGCGGGCCCGCGGCUCGUCCGCAUUAUCAAGUCAGACUCGGGCUACGGCUUCAACGUCCGCGGGCAAGUGAGUGAAGGUGGCCAGCUGCGGAGCAUCAAUGGCGAACUGUACGCGCCGCUGCAACAUGUCAGCGCCGUGCUACCGGGCGGUGCGGCGGACAGAGCCGGGAUCUCCAAGGGCGACCGCAUCCUCGAAGUGAAUGGCGUGAAUGUAGAGGGAGCCACACACAAACAGGUGGUGGAUCUCAUCCGAGCUGGAGAAAGGGAGCUAGUCCUCGCUGUCCUCUCCGUGCCCCAGCCAGAGACGGACAGCCUGGACCCGGGAGACGACGGCUCAUCCCAGUCCUGCUACGACUACAGCGACAAGCAGGCUGUGCCUAUCUCUGUGCCCACCUAUAAACACGUGGAGCAGAAUGGCGAGAGGUUUGUGGUCUAUAAUGUGUAUAUGGCUGGCAGACAGCUCUGCUCCAAGCGCUACAGGGAGUUUGCCAUUCUGCAUCAAAACCUUAAGAAGGAGUUUGCCACUUUUACGUUCCCCAAGCUGCCUGGGAAGUGGCCCUUCUCUUUGUCUGAGCAACAGCUGGACGCCCGAAGGAGGGGACUGGAGGAAUACCUAGAAAGAGUGUGUUCUGUGCGAGUGAUUGGUGAGAGUGAUAUAAUGCAGGAAUUCUUGUCUGAAUCAGAUGAGAACUAUAAUGGAGUCUCCGAUGUAGAGUUGAGGAUAGCCAUGCCGGAUAAAACCACAGUAACUGUCAGAGUUCGAAAGAACUGCACUACAGACCAGGUGUACCAGGCUGUGGUGUUGAAGGUUGGGAUGGACAGUAUUACCGCCAGUUAUUUUGCUCUCUUUGAAGUCAUUAACCACUCAUUUGUGCGGAAACUGGCUCCGAACGAGUUCCCUCAUAAGCUGUACGUGCAGAACUACACAUCGGCCGUUCCCGGUACCUGCCUCACUCUGCGCAAGUGGCUCUUCACCACUGAGGAGGAGAUCCUGCUGAACGACAACGAGCUCGCCAUCAACUACUGCUUUCACCAGGCACUGGAUGAUGUGAAGAGGGGGUUUAUUAAAGCAGAAGAGAAAUCAUACCAGCUGCAGAAACUGGCUGAACAGAGGAAGGUUUCCAUGUACCUAAGUAUGGUGAGGUCAUGUGAAGGCUACAAUGAGAUCAUCUUUCCUCACUGUGCUUGUGACUCACGCCGCAAGGGCCACGUUAUCACAGCCAUUAGCAUCCGGCACUUCAAACUGCACGCCUGCACUGAAGAGGGCACUCUAGAGAAUCAGGUGAUAGCGUUCGAGUGGGGCGAAAUGCAGAGGUGGGACACUGACGAGGAGGGAAUGGCUUUCUGCUUCGAGUACGCGCGAGGCGAGAAGAAGCCGCGCUGGGUCAAAAUCUUCACUCCAUAUUUUAACUACAUGCACGAGUGCUUCGAGCGGGUCUUCUGUGAGCUCAAAUGGCGGAAAGAGGUUGAAGAGGAAGCGACGGAUAAAGACAAUAAGAACUGUAGCAAAGAUGGCAUGGACUCCACGAGACCUCUGAAGGUGUGCUGUGGUAUCUGGCACCAAGACUUCAGCCGCAAGUCCUGUAAGUUGCGAGAAUAUCUUCCAGCUGUUGAGGCACAGAAGGGAUGGAGGCACCUGAGACAGGAGAUCGUCACCCCCUGAACACAAGAUUUUACACACACACACACACACACACACACACACACACACACACACACAAAUCAGUGCAGACUAAAAACAGGAACAUAAUGGGUCCCAGUCAAUGCAGUCUGUCCACUCACACACACUCACACACACUCAGUGGACAUCCAGAAUUAAAGAACCUUGUCUUCAGACUCACAAAACAAUAGAAAUAAGCAGACUAAAAAUGAGAAUCAAGACUUUUUUUCACGCUUCAUCCCAUCAAAUCGUCAUUGGGACUCAGCUCAUUUCAGUCGUUCUGUUGGAGGACAUUUUUGAGGUGACCAUUUGCUUGGGAAGAAGGAACUGACAAGGCUUUUCGCUAACACUCCAGAUGCAGUGUCUACAUUUAAGCAGUCCCUCCAGGAUUUCUCCGCCAUUUUUCAGAAUUACCGCCGAUUUUCCGCAGAUUUGGGCCAAGACGCGUCAUGUGACAUCAUCACAACGCGCAUUCAGUCAAAGCCCUCUUCGAUUCACGUGCAUCGAACAAGAGUAUGGCUGAAAGGUCUCAUUUACCAACAAACGUCACUGCGAAAGACCGUGCAAAACAAUUUCAUGCUACUGCAGUUUCACCAAUUCAAGUAGUUUUCCGCAACAAAAGCACAGAAAACUCCACAAGUUGCAUCUCGAAUUUUGAAAAAAGUCACAGCAAAAUCAAGCAUUUUUGGUCACAACAAUCACAAAAAAAAACUCAGAAAUCCUGUACGGACUGUUUUAAGGUAUUCAUCUUGGCUCCUAGAGAUCUAUCAUUAUCCAGAGUUUAGUUCUAAUUCCAGCUUAACCCUUCUGGUUUUUAUUCAUAUUCAUUAAUACUUACAGGUGCGUGACAAAUGAAGCAUCGACAUAUGUCGUGGUUAGGUGUUGUGCCACCACGAGCUUCCAGACCAGCUUAAUGCGCCUCGGCACAGAUUCUACAUACCGAUGAACACCAUUUUCCAAAAUACGUUCCAUGUUGCUUCGAUAUCUCCCAUAUUGAAUUGGUCUGUUGAAUGCAGAGGCCAUUACAUCAUUUUCAUACUCCUCAAACUGUUCAGUGAGCUCCUGUGGAUGUGGGAGAAGUCAUCCUAAGACUCCCAUCAGGAUGGAAAUGUUUCAUUGUAGGAUCAAGACGUUCAGUCAGAACACUUUUGCAUUUACUUGCAGUAAACUUUCUCUGUAAGGGAGCAACUGGAUACAAACCAUACCAGCAAAAUCUAUAAAUGGCCCUCAGCAUAACAGAACCACGGUUUCUCUUUUCAUAUGUCACCCAUCUGUAAACUGUUCAACAUCAUAAGCUCUGCUUUGCUCUGAAUAGGAGGUCUGCCAGAAGUUUGGAUUUCAUUGGUAGACAAAUACAUCAUCUAGGAGUAGGGAAAACAUUAGAUAAAAGCGGGCAGUGGGUCUCUGGGACUAGGGUCGAGAACCACUGACAUAAUCCCUUUGUCUGACUGCGUUAUUACAGACGCCCCUUCAUAUGCCAGAGUUGUCUUAAAUGUACUAAGGAAAAUGCCAAGGUCCCCAAACAAAUCUUAAUAUAUUUGUCUCCACCUUUUCUUCUGGUUCUUCUCUUUAACCAUCAGUAUGCACAUGUUUCUUGCAUUUGCUCUGUUUGUCCUGGAUGGAUCACCUCAUUAAUUUAUUGUAAUAAGGUAUCAAACAGGAUUUCUCUGCAUACAGUAUUUUCAGUAGCAUAUGUUUUCGAAUAAGCUGCAUAGAUAAUAGUCUCAGAGCCACUUGAAAUGUCAGAGAGGUAUUGAAGGAAGUCAUGUGGAGCCAUUUUGGCAAAUGAAUCAAAAUGGACCAUGUUUUAAAAUGAGCCGAUGACACGAAAUAACCUGAAAAUGUUUGUUGAAACUUGGUCAUAUAGCAUUAUAAAUAAAUUGUAACAUAUUCUUUUAAAUAAAGAAAUUUAAUGAGAAAA